CUAAGGAUGGAUGAACCAACCCAGGUCAGAAAUGGAGCAGGUCAAAACCCCUGUGCUGAUCAGUGGUGGGAUCACACCUGUAACUAGACCCUGCACUCCAGCCUGGGCAACAUAGCAGGACCUUGUCAUUU